rnacentral:rRNA from 1 species
GACGGUACCCGAAGAAUAAGCCACGGCUAACUACGUGCCAGCAGCCGCGGUAAUACGUAGGUGGCAAGCGUUGUCCGGAUUUACUGGGCGUAAAGCGCGCGCAGGCGGUGAAUGAAGUCGAAAGUGAAAGCCCCGAGCUCAACUCGGGAACUGCUUUCGAAACCAGUUCACUUGAAGGUGGAAGAGGGAAGUGGAAUUCCGAGUGUAGCGGUGGAAUGCGUAGAUAUUCGGAGGAACACCAGAGGCGAAGGCGACUUCCUGGUCCAAUCUUGACGCUGAGGCGCGAAAGCUAGGGGAGCAAACAGGAUUAGAUAUCCUGGUAGUCCUAGCUGUAAACGAUGGAUACUAGGUGUUGGAGGUUUUAACCCCUUCGGCGCCGCAGCUAACGCAUUAAGUAUCCCGCCUGGGGAGUACGGCCGCAAGGCUAAAACUC